GCGUAACAUUUCCUGUCCGAGGAUAGCAAGAAAAAUGCCUUUGCUGUAACACCACUGUAGGACAUAACAGGUUCUACUUUUUUCUUUUCUUUUUAUAGUCACCUACAUUAUAGUUGAUUUAUAAGUUUCUAUUUAUUAUUCCUUCCAGUGAAAACCAUACAACCUGGCGAACCUGAUGUGGGCCUGGUGUCUUGACGCAGCGCUGGGCCUUUAGUGGGCCUCUGAUGUCGUCCUCAUCCUCCUCCAGGUUUUACGCAGAGCUGCACAUCACCGGAGUGUCCUUAGUUCACUCUUGGAUGCCUAAUAUAUAAGGGCCAGUACUACCCAUCGUCCUCUCUGAUGGCCAUACAGAGUCCAUUUACCUGCUGUUGAUAAUGAGGCAGAUAACGAAGCAGACAAAACUCGUCUAAUAUUUAGAGGUGAUGGAACUGGGUCUGGUUACACUCAUUUCAGAGUGAGUAGCGACAGUGAAAUUAAUCCUCGGCGACUCGUCGUUGGUGCUCAAUUGAUGGAGAGCAUGAGCACGGAGCCCCUCACUGGCUUGAAGUGGUUUCCACCUGGAAAUUCUGAAAUUGGAGCCCCGGAUCAUCUGUGUGAGAGAGCGGGUUGCGACUGAGGACAAAGGAUGGAGCAGGAGGCGGCGCCCUCAUCUGGCCUGUUGGCGGACACUGCACUGAACUUUGAGACUGCCGUCAUAGCAAGAUGGAUGGGCCCAUGGCUGGAUCAGUAACGGACACAGAGCUGCACUUCGACUCAGACGCCAGCAAGGUGGAGGUGGGGUACUGGUAUGGGUUGGUAUUAUUAAAGAUGUGCUUGUUGGACCUCUUCGGGUUAAUGAUGGCCUCAAAAUCAACUCCAAAACCUACGGCCAGUUUUUAGAAGAGACUUUCUUCAAGCAGUGGCACAGGAAAAGGUCUGCAUCUUUCAAGAAGACCAUGAUUUUUAUGCAGGACAAUGCUCCGCCGCAUGCAUCAAAGUACUCCACUGCAUGGCUAGUCAGUAAAGGCCUUAAGGAUGAAAAAAAUAAUGGCAUGGUCCCCUUCCUCACCUGACCUAAACCCU
ensembl:lncRNA